rfam:Danio rerio chromosome 4, GRCz11 reference primary assembly.
GCUUACGGCCAUACCACCCUGGAAAUGCCUGAUCUCAUCUGAACUCGGAAGUAAAGCAGGGUCGGGCCUGGUUAGUACUUGGAUGGGAGACCGCCUGGGAAUACCAGGUGCUGUAAGCU